GAUGGCGUGGCCGAGUGGUCUAAGGCGCUGGAUUUAGGCUCCAGUCCGCAAGGGCGCAGGUUCGAACCCUGCCGCCAUCA